rnacentral:rRNA from 1 species
AUGGCGGAUGCACCUCUUUACAAGCAGCGCCGCAGGUACACCAGGGAGCUCCACGACGUCGAUCUCCACGGCAACCACAAGCUCCAUGUUGUUUGCACAAGCAAGGGUGAAGACGUGGACAAGAUGCUGUCCACGCUCAGGAGGAAGCUCGGCGGAAUGCCUGUCAAACUAGUCGCAUUGAUGCCAAUGGAACUAGAUAAAUUCCUCAUGAAUGGUGAGUACACCUUCAUCGGAUUCGCCAUUGAGGAGACAAAAGCAAGCUGA